ACACCUAAUCCUGUAUGGUGUCAAAUAUGGAAGUUAUCUUGUGCGGCAAAAGUAAAAAAUUUCAUAUGGCGUACAUUACAUGGCACUCUCCCAUGCCGGGUAACACUCUCUAACAGACACAUGAAGGCCUCGCCCUCUUGCCCUAAUUGUUCUCAAGGUUUAGAAGAUACGAAACACAUGCUUUUCCUGUGUAGUAAAGCAAAGGAGGUUUGGAAGAAACUAGGGAUGGAUGAGAUUAUUGAUAAAGCUUGUGAGAUUGAUCGUGCUGGGAAGGCGAUAUUGGAAUACCUUCUACUUCUUCCAGACCAAGAUUUGAAUAUUUUGGGGUUCCAAAAUGUACGAGAAAUGAUAGCUAUUUCAGCUUGGUACCUAUGGUGGGAAAGACGAAAAUUAGUGCACAAGGAAUUAACUCAGAAUGCAAAUCAGAUAUCAAUGGUGAGCGUAGCCCUCACAUCCAACUUUGUAAAUGCAUCAUCCCCAAAGGCGUCCAUGAAAGGGGGGGGGUACUGUCCUCCUAGGGGUUUUGUGAAACUUAAUGUUGACGCCUCCUUUGAUCAUGAUAUGCUGAAGGGUACGGUGGGGGCAGUCUUGAGAGAUGACAAAGGUAGGUUAAUUGCAGGAGGAAAUGGAAAGAUUGACUAUUGUGCGGAUGUUCUGAUGGCUGAAGCUUUAGCACUCAAAUUUGGCCUAACACUAGCGCAAAGGGCAGGGUGUAAUCGCAUAAUCAUCAACUCAGACAAUCUGAAGGUGAUAGAGACCAUGCAGGACGGAGGACACUCAGCGGGUGCGGCGGCGGCAAUUUUUGAGGACUGCUUUCACCAUGCCUGUGAUUUUGUCACGGCUAGAUUCUAA
rnacentral:rRNA from 1 species